rnacentral:rRNA from 1 species
UGGGGAAUAUUGCACAAUGGGGGAAACCCUGAUGCAGCGACGCCGCGUGAGCGAAGAAGUAUCUCGGUAUGUAAAGCUCUAUCAGCAGGGAAGAAAAUGACGGUACCUGACUAAGAAGCACCGGCUAAAUACGUGCCAGCAGCCGCGGUAAUACGUAUGGUGCAAGCGUUAUCCGGAUUUACUGGGUGUAAAGGGAGCGCAGGCGGUACGGCAAGUCUGAUGUGAAAUCCCGGGGCUCAACCCCGGUACUGCAUUGGAAACUGUCGGACUAGAGUGUCGGAGGGGUAAGUGGAAUUCCUAGUGUAGCGGUGAAAUGCGUAGAUAUUAGGAGGAACACCAGUGGCGAAGGCGGCUUACUGGACGAUUACUGACGCUGAGGCUCGAAAGCGUGGGGAGCAAACAGGAUUAGAUACCCUGGUAGU